AUGCGCGGUAUAAAUUAGGAAUGUUUAUUUGGGACACAAGGCCUUAAAAGCGGAGGUCUAGUACUACACGUUGGGUCUUCCCGCUCAUCGCCGAUUUUUUUCAUCUCACACAGACCGUGAGUGACCCAGGUCACAUCAGGACAGGUCAAGGCAGGCGCUGCUGUGGAUCCGCGGUGGAGACUGUGGACUUGUGACCUGACACACCAUCAUGCCUUUCAAUUCUCGCAGCAAAGUUUACAUUCUGGGAUAUGCAGGCGUUGUCCUGGCAACCGUCGUUGGUUCCAUUGGACUGGGCGCUCCGGGCUGGUUCAUCGCAAGAAGUGACAUCAGCGAGUUGUUGACGGGUCUGUGGCAAGUUUGUGUCCAAGGUUUUUUGGUUUCCAGAGAAGUUCGUCUGUACUUACAUUGACUACGAAUCAUUAGACAAUUACCAAAAGGCCACCCAGGCUAUGGCGUGUAUUGGGGUGGCCCUCCUGAUUGCGUCUACUGUGUACGGACUGUUUGUCAAUGUAGUAUCCACAAAUUCGCCAUCGUCACCUUACGUUGAGAUCCUUGCCUUGUUGGGUGGUGUGAGCCUUUUUAUCGGCUGCAUGGUAUGGGUAGGUUAUAAGUACAACUUUUACUCCGAUCCAGGGGUCAGUUUGGGUUACGCCAUGAUAAUCUCUACUAUUGGCUCUGUCCUCGCUAUUCAGGCUUCUGUGUGUGUGGCAGUAGGAAGCCGGAGAAAUGGAUCCUACCAGCAAAUUCAAUAGUAUGUGACUUUCUCUAUGUUGCUAUUCGGUAGUUAAUGACCAACAGAGGCGAGGUAAAUCUGAUGAUAGGCUCUCUGUAGCAGUAACGAUUGUGUGUUUGUUUUGUAGUUUUGUUUGUGUUUUUAUAUUUAGGCUCAACUUACAUUUGAGUCUGUAAAAGAUAGACACAGUAACUUGAACUUUCAAACUUUGUUUUUGUUUUCAUUGCUGUGAAUUGUUAGACAGUGUCACAAAAAUACACUACAAAGAAGUCUGCAAACUGUGCAAGCCUGUAAACCAGCAUUUCUGAAAAGGGUUUGAGAAGUGGACUCAGAUCAUCGUGAUGAUUGCAGAUCUGGCUUUUGUUCUUCGUGGAGGGCCCUAAGGUACGAUAACUCAGUGACCUUUCCGAAGACAGCCGAGUUGUUGGCCUUUUAUGGAGGCGUUCUUAGUUUCAUCGGCGCCGUUAUCUACGCUGUAAACACGAAGAGACUUGACGACACUGCCUAUGGUUUCGGGUUUUUCCUGGUCGCGGCGGCCGCCAUUGUGGGAGUGGCUGGAGGACUGGUGGUGGCCAAUCAGAACUGGACUGAGUGGAUAAAGGACCAAUCGUUGAGCAGCGAGGUCAACCACGGGGGCGCACUGGCAGAAUUCAACAUAUCCAGGCUGCAGAAGAUGAAUUCUAUUAAACCGAAGUAGGGGAGAGCAUUCACGCAGUUCUAAAAACUGUUAUAGUCAAGAAUUGCGAUGACUUUGUUCCUUCCAUUUCUCUCCUUCUGUCUGAAUAAUUUCUGUGUUUCGGUCCCACUUUUCAUUGUGUUCCGCACUUGUAUGUAAGUCUUGCUGGUUUUAAGUCCCAUCUCUCUCUCUCCGUACGCGUACAAAAUGCAAUUGUUUGUCAUUAUCAUUCCAGUGCUACUCGUUGAUUGCUAGACGUGUCGACAUUUUGAUGAUCAUUGUAUUCUACAUCCCAUGUUUCCAACACAGCUCUAAACAAUGUCCCUACCUAGGAUUUAAUGUUACCAACGCUGGGCAGCUGAAGUCUUUAAGAAUGAGUCGUUCUACUGUUAUACCAUUGAUGUCAGAAAUUAAUCCGGUGUAUAUAUAAUAUAAAUAUAGAAAUAAAUAUCUAAUUCUGCAUUGGGAGUGUGUACUCUGUACUAUAUAGCUUCAGUUAGAAGGAAUGUUUGAAGGUUUAUGUCAGUACUUCCUUACACAGAAUAGUUUCUUCUUCCCAAUUUGACAGCUCAGUCAAGUAUUAUCUGCCUUCUUAAUUAGAAACAU